rnacentral:rRNA from 1 species
AAAUUGAAGAGUUUGAUCAUGGCUCAGAUUGAACGCUGGCGGCAGGCCUAACACAUGCAAGUCGAGCGGAAACGAGUUAACUGAACCUUCGGGGAACGUUAACGGCGUCGAGCGGCGGACGGGUGAGUAAUGCCUAGGAAAUUGCCCUGAUGUGGGGGAUAACCAUUGGAAACGAUGGCUAAUACCGCAUAAUGCCUUCGGGCCAAAGAGGGGGACCUUCGGGCCUCUCGCGUCAGGAUAUGCCUAGGUGGGAUUAGCUAGUUGGUGAGGUAAGGGCUCACCAAGGCGACGAUCCCUAGCUGGUCUGAGAGGAUGAUCAGCCACACUGGAACUGAGACACGGUCCAGACUCCUACGGGAGGCAGCAGUGGGGAAUAUUGCACAAUGGGCGCAAGCCUGAUGCAGCCAUGCCGCGUGUAUGAAGAAGGCCUUCGGGUUGUAAAGUACUUUCAGCAGUGAGGAAGGUGGUGUAGUUAAUAACUGCAUCAUUUGACGUUAGCUGCAGAAGAAGCACCGGCUAACUCCGUGCCAGCAGCCGCGGUAAUACGGAGGGUGCGAGCGUUAAUCGGAAUUACUGGGCGUAAAGCGCAUGCAGGUGGU